UACGUAGGGGGCAAGCGUUGUCCGGAAUUACUGGGCGUAAAGCGUGCGUAGACGGUUACAUAAGUCGGGUGUGAAAGCCCCGGGCUCAACCUGGGAAUUGCAUUCGAGACUGCGUAGCUAGGGUGCGGAAGAGGGAAGCGGAAUUUCCGGUGUAGCGGUGAAAUGCGUAGAUAUCGGAAGGAACACCAGUGGCGAAAGCGGCUUCCUGGUCCAGCACCGACGUUCAGGCACGAAAGCGUGGGGAGCAAACAGG
rnacentral:rRNA from 1 species